AUCGAUGAAGAACGCCAGCGAAAUGCGAUACGUAAUGUGAAUUGCAGAAUUCCGUGAAUCAUUGAAUCUUUGAACGCAUCUUGCGCCUCUUGGUAUUCCGAGGGGCAUGCCUGUUUGAGUGUCAUUAGAACUAUCAAAAAACAAUGGUUUCGAUCAUUAUUUUUUGGAAUUGGAGGUGGUGCCUGGGUCUUUUGAGAAAAAGACUCCCCGAGCUCCUCUGAAAUGCAUUAGCGAAAUGCAGUGCACUUUCUUCUCCUUGGGGCAUUGAUAGUUACUUUCAUGUCCUAAGCUGCGGGGAGGAAGUCACAGAAUGCUUUCUUGCUCCUGAACGUGUAAAUCUUGACAAUCAAAGCCCUCAAAUCAGGCAGGACUACCCGCUGAACUUAAGCAUAUCAAUAAGCGGAGGAAAAGAAACUAACAAGGAUUCCCCUAGUAACUGCGAGUGAAGCGGGAAGAGCUCAAAUUUAAAAUCUGGCAGCCUGAUGGGCUUGUCCGAGUUGUAAUCUAGAGAAGUGUCUUCCGCGCUGGGACCGUGUACAAGUCUCUUGGAAUGGAGCGUCAUAGAGGGUGAGAAUCCCGUCUCUGACACGGAAUUUACCGGUGCUUUUGUGAUGCGCUCUCGAAGAGUCGAGUUGUUUGGGAAUGCAGCUCAAAAUGGGUGGUAAAUUCCAUCUAAAGCUAAAUACAGGCGAGAGACCGAUAGCGAACAAGUACCGUGAGGGAAAGAUGAAAAGGACUUUGAAAAGAGAGUUAAACAUUACGUGAAAUUGUUGAAAGGGAAACGAUUCAAGUCAGUCGCAUUAGCCAGUAAUCAACCCUCGCAAUUAACCUUGCUGGGCUUACUUUCUGGUUGAUGGGUCAGCAUCAAUUUUGACCGUCAGAGAAAGGCUUUGCGGGGAAUGUGACAUCUUCGGAUGUGUUAUAGCCCCAACUCGCAUGUGAUGGUCGGGAUUGAGGAACUCAGCACGCCUUUACAGGUCAGGGCCGCCAGAAUGGCCCAUGUAAACGUAGCUUAGGAUGCUGGCAUAAUGGCUUGAACCGACCCGUCUUGAAACACGG
rnacentral:rRNA from 1 species